rnacentral:rRNA from 1 species
AUUGAACGCUGGCGGCAGGCCUAACACAUGCAAGUCGAGCGAGCGGCGGACGGGUGAGUAAUGUCUGGGAAACUGCCUGAUGGAGGGGGAUAACUACUGGAAACGGUAGCUAAUACCACAUACCAUCAGAUGUGCCCAGAUGGGAUUAGCUAGUAGGUGGGGUAACGGCUCACCUAGGCGACGAUCCCUAGCUGGUCUGAGAGGAUGACCAGCCACACUGGAACUGAGACACGGUCCAGACUCCUAAGGGCGGCGGCGGUGGGGAUUAUUGCACAAUGGGCGCAAGCCUGAUGCAGCCAGGCCGCGUGUAUGAAGAAGGCCUUCGGGUUUAAAAUUACUUUCAGCGGGGAGGCGUUACCCGCAGAAGAAGCACCGGCUAACUCCGUGCCAGCCGCCGCGGUAAUAC